GAUGAACGCUAGCGGCAGGCCUAAUACAUGCAAGUCGAACGGUGUCUUCGGACAUAGUGGCGCACGGGUGCGUAACACGUAUGCAACCUACCUUACAUGGGGGGAUAGCCUUUCGAAAGGGAGAUUAAUACCGCAUAAGACAGUAGCUGGGCAUCCAGCAGCUGUUAAAGAUUUAUCGAAGUAAGCAGGGCAUGCGUCCAAUUAGCUAGUUGGUGAGGUAACGGCUCACCAAGGCAAUGAUUGGUAGGGGAACUGAGAGGUCAAUCCCCCACACUGGCACUGAGAUACGGGCCAGACUCCUACGGGAGGCAGCAGUAGGGAAUAUUGGGCAAUGGACGCAAGUCUGACCCAGCCAUGCCGCGUGCAGGAUGAAGGCGUUAUGCGUUGUAAACUGCUUUUAUACAGGAAGAAACUACUCUUGCGAGAGGCAUUGACGGUACUGUAUGAAUAAGCACCGGCUAACUCCGUGCCAGCCGCCGCAGUAA
rnacentral:rRNA from 1 species